AUGGAGUGUGGUGACCACAGAAAGAAUUGAUGGAAGCAUGUGAGGAAAUGUGUCAACCGGAAAAGCAGCAGCUCAGCUCCUGGGGCCCAGUGUGGACUUGCCUUCAGGAGGUGAUGAUGUCGCUUUUGACCUGUGGGUCAGAGUAAAAAUUGUGUAAAAUCAGUUCCCAGUGUACAAACUGAUGGAUGUUAAAGGUUAAUUUGUAAAUAACUUUAUAUUUCUAUGGGGAAAAAGCUUCCUAAGUUCCAUGUAGGUUCUUGGGCCACUGUUUAUGAUAGAAUUAUAAUACCAGAUACUCAAAAUGUCAAAUGUCAGACAAAAAUAUUAUGAAUAUACAGAAUAUACAGUAUUUUCUUCUUCUUCUUCUUUUUUUUUUUUUUUGGAUACAGAGUCUUGCUCUGUCAUCCAGGUUGGAGUGCAGUGGCAUGAUCUCAGUUCACUGCAACCUCCACCUCUGCAGAAAGAGGAAAAGACAUCUUUUGAGGAAGCAAGCAAAAAAUAAUUCUGAAUUAGUUUAUACUGGUCCAGAGGUUUGUUUUAGUGCCAGCAAUGGAGAUAUCAGUAAAAACUGAAUCCUAAUUAUAAUAAUA
rnacentral:lncRNA from 1 species